rnacentral:tRNA from 1 species
GGGAGGGUGGUCUAGCUUGGUAUGAUACUCGGCUGGGGGCCGAGUGGUCGGGGGUUCAACGGGCUUCCCGUUUCG